ACUAGUUAAAAGGGAAAGGAAAGAUGGGUGUAAAAACAAGAAAAGCAGUCGAUUUCAAGUAGAAGAAGUAAGCACCUGCUUGUUCUCAAAGAUGCUUCUGGUUUUUAAUCAGCUCAGAAGUCUGGAAAACCCUUGUAAGCAAGAAAACAAGCUAUUUCAUCUGGCUUCGGUUUCCAUUUCACCGCCAAGAAGGAUUGAUGGCUUGCGAGUCUGACCUGUCACUCAUGGAAAUUAGCUUGCUUUAUUCAGUUACCCAGGGAACGUUUGGGUUUAUGGACUCCUCUACUGUUAUGAAUUAUACAUGGCCUUUUUUUUCUUCUAUUGUAGAUGGAUCUAUAGUUAAGUAUGCAAUGUUCGAGAGCUUUUAUGGGUCAUAGAAAGCCUGUCAUGAUAGGACUGCAACUAUACUAAAUACUCAACUUUCACUCAUAUACAAAUAAGCAAUCGAAAAUAAGGAUGGGGAAGAUGGUGGAAGAGUAAGGUCCCCAAGUCACCUGUCCCCUCCAAAUUACCUAGAUAACCUUCAAAUCAUCCUGAAAAUUUAUGAAUCCGGCCUGAGAUUUAAAGAGAGAACAGCUGGAAUGCUACAGUGAGAAAAGUUCACGCUUCUAUCAAGUUUACAAGAACAGUUGUUGCCUCAGGAAGACUACACCCUGGAACAUCCUCACUCAGAAAACAAUCACAGGAUGUAGAAGCCACCAGAAGGCAGGGAAGCUCUUACAAUAUGUUGAGGAGAAGGUUGUUCUUCAAGCAAGUGUGUCCCAAGGACCUUCUCAGCAACACUAGGAGAUAAUAAAACAUUCGGGUAAAACUACCAGUGCUGCCAAGAUGAGCUCUAUAACCAAGGGGACUUCCAAGUGCCUCAGGAAUCCUCAGUACCCAAUGGCAUUAAGUGUCCUGCCUGCUACAACGUGUAUGAUGUUUCCUGCGACCCAGUUCUUCUUGCCUGCACUGGUACAGAGACAAAGCGUGUGGAAGUUAUUGGCAUAGGUACAACUAUUUCCACAGGAUUCUUGGUGUUCAUUUUCUCAAAGGAUAUAUCUGUGCUAGUUAUCUUUGCUGUGUAAUCAUUACUCCAAAACUUGGCAGUUUAAAACAAUGAGCAUUUAUUAUUUCAUGGCAUCUGAGGGUCAGGAGUUUGGAAGUGGCCUAGCUAAGUGCUUCUGGCUGAGUUUCUCAUGAAGUUGUAAUCUAGCUGUCAGCAGGGCCUGUCACCAGGAAGACCUGCUUCCAAGAUCACCCAUGUAGUUGUCAGGCUUGGUUCUUCUCUACAUGGGUCUCUGUGUGGGCUGCCUGGAUGUCCUUAUAAUGUAUUCCCCCACAGCAAGUGAUGAGAGAGAGAGAGAGAGAGAUAGAGAGAAGAGAAGAGAAGAGAAGAGAGAAGAGAGAUAAGAGAGAUGGAGGGAGGGAGGAAGAGCACUAACUGGCAUUUCUCAGGGCAAAUGAUGACAGAGGGAGAAGAGGAGGAGAAGAGGGAGGGAGGAAGGAGAUACUACAGUUUCAAAGUAAUCAAAUAUCAGAAGGAACAUUUCUUCACUUCUGUUGUAUCCUGUUGGUUGCACAGAUCAACUCUGAUACAACAUGGGAGAAGAGUAUACAAGGACAUGAAUACUAAGAGAUCGCAGGCCAUCCUAGAGACUAACUACUAUGUACAGCAAAGGCUGAUACAGGGCCAAGUCCUAGUUCACUCUCCAAAGUUUGGAGGGAGCCAUCUGUCAGAAGAGAGAAGGGGGAGAGGAGAGGACGAGGAGAGGAGAGGGAAGAUGAAGAGAACACAACUGCUUUCCACAGGAAAGUCUGACACUUGGGAACAUGUCAUAUCAUGAUCUCCUCGAAUGGGAACUUGGGUCAUUGGCCAUCACCCUCUUCAACAAAGAGGGUGAUACCUCAGUUCUGUUUUUUUUCAUCACUACCAUUAUUGCUAUUACCCAAUCCCCAUGAAUAAGCAUGAUAUGAUUCUGAAAUCUGCAGAAGGACUUGCCAUUUUCCUGAGGAGGAGAAAAGUAUGGACUUGUAAUAAGAUGCACAGAUGCCAUUCAGAUAGAAAACAACAGGUACCAAGGGGCUGUUUAGGUGAAUACAUGAGUUCUGACCUCAGGCUUUUUCCUCUCUUCCAACUAUCUCUUGCCUCGUCAGAAGGUACAGACUCCAAUCUCAGCUAUGCAUCUGACACAGCAGGGGCCCUUUGGGAUUCAUCCUAAACUGAGAUGUCGGGCCCAAAGGGAACUAAGGCUUGGUCCCUGGACAGAGAUGGAGCUGUGGUUCUUGCUUCUUUCACAGAAGGCAGAGGGGAAUUCUGGGGCAUUCUGUGUACCCUUUUCUUCCCCAAGCGAGGCAGAUAGGAUAGGACGUGGGUGAAGAGGGGAGACAAGAUAAGAGAGAAGACUAACUCUUGGAUUUUUCUUUUGGCAGAUAGUCCAAUAUUUAUGAUUUUUGCCAUGGGUUGUGCUACUGAAACUGUCCUCAACUUGAGGAAUAUAAGUAUAUUGAAUAACAUAAAAAUCCGUACCAACUGUACAGAACAAAGCAAUGGAGAUCCCCACUGAUGUUCAUCACCUCAUCAAUCUUGACUGGUCCCUUCUUGCUCAAAGUCUUGCUUUGAAGUUUGCACACUUCCAAGCUCAUAAUUCUACAAACCUGAAAAAGUUGGAGUCCUCUGAUGUCUCCCCUCCCCAACAUUCUCCAGACAUUGCAGAAUUAAGUUGCUGAUAUUUC